rnacentral:rRNA from 1 species
AACGAACGCUGGCGGCAGGCUUAACACAUGCAAGUCGAACGCCCCGCAAGGGGAGUGGCAGACGGGUGAGUAACGCGUGGGAAUCUACCCAGUUCUACGGAAUAACCCAGGGAAACUUGGACUAAUACCGUAUACGCCCUACGGGGGAAAGAUUUAUCGGAAUUGGAUGAGCCCGCGUUGGAUUAGCUAGUUGGUGGGGUAAUGGCCUACCAAGGCGACGAUCCAUAGCUGGUCUGAGAGGAUGAUCAGCCACACUGGGACUGAGACACGGCCCAGACUCCUACGGGAGGCAGCAGUGGGGAAUAUUGGACAAUGGGCGCAAGCUUGAUCCAGCCAUGCCGCGUGAGUGAUGAAGGCCUUAGGGUUGUAAAGCUCUUUCAGUGGGGACGAUAAUGACGGUACCCACAGAAGAAGCCCCGGCUAACUUCGUGCCAGCCGCCGCCGUAAGAC